rnacentral:rRNA from 1 species
GACGUAGGGCGCAAGCGUUGUCCGGAUUUAUUGGGCGUAAAGAGCUCGUAGGCGGCUUGUCGCGUCGACUGUGAAAACUCACGGCUCAACCGUGGAACUGCAGUCGAUACGGGCAGGCUAGAGUUCGGUAGGGGAGACUGGAAUUCCUGGUGUAGCGGUGAAAUGCGCAGAUAUCAGGAGGAACACCGAUGGCGAAGGCAGGUCUCUGGGCCGAUACUGACGCUGAGGAGCGAAAGCGUGGGGAGCGAACAGG